rnacentral:tRNA from 1 species
GCCUUCGUGGUGAAGUGAUCAGCACGCUCGUAUGGCUAGCGGUUGGCAAACACAGGCGUGUAUUCGAGAGGUCCGUGGUUCGACUCCCGGCGAGAGCA